rnacentral:rRNA from 1 species
CUUAAGCAUAUCAAUAAGCGGAGGAAAAGAAACCAACAGGGAUUACCUCAGUAACGGCGAGUGAAGCGGUAACAGCUCAAAUUUGAAAUCUGGCCUCACGGUCCGAGUUGUAAUUUGUAGAGGAUGCUUCGAGCAUGGUCUGGCCUAAGUUCCUUGGAACAGGACGUCAUAGAGGGUGAGAAUCCCGUAUGCGGCCAGGUGCCUACGCUCAUGUGAAGCUCCUUCGACGAGUCGAGUUGUUUGGGAAUGCAGCUCAAAAUGGGUGGUAAAUUUCAUCUAAAGCUAAAUAUUGGCCAGAGACCGAUAGCGCACAAGUAGAGUGAUCGAAAGAUGAAAAGCACUUUGGAAAGAGAGUUAAACAGUACGUGAAAUUGUUGAAAGGGAAGCGCUUGCAACCAGACUUGCGCGCGGCCGAUCAUCCGGUGUUCUCACCGGUGCACUCGGCCGUGCUCAGGCCAGCAUCGGUUUUGGCGGCUGGAUAAAGGCCCUAGGAAUGUAGCUCCUCUCGGGGAGUGUUAUAGCCUAGGGUGCAAUGCAGCCUGCUGGGACCGAGGACCGCGCUUCGGCUAGGAUGCUGGCGUAAUGGUUGUAAGCGGCCCGUCUUGAAACACGGACCAAGGAGUCUAACAUCUAUGCGAGUGUUUGGGUGUCAAACCCAUACGCGUAAUGAAAGUGAACGGAGGUGAGAACCCUUAAGGGUGCAUCAUCGACCGGUCCUGAAGUUUACGGAAGGAUCUGAGUAAGAGCAUAGCUGUUGGGACCCGAAAGAUGGUGAACUAUGCCUGAAUAGGGUGAAGCCAGAGGAAACUCUGGUGGAGGCUCGCAGCGGUUCUGACGUGCAAAUCGAUCGUCAAAUUUGGGUAUAGGGGCGAAAGACUAAUCGAACCAUCUAGUAGCUGGUUCCUGCCGAA